CUUUCUGACCUUUUAGAUCGCCAGUGUCCUGACGUCACAGAACCCCUCUGUCCUCCUCACUUUGCGUGGCGUCAACACGGACAGCGGCAGUAUCUGCAGGGAGGCCUCCUUCGAGGGCAUCAGCAAGUUUAAUGUCAAUAACACCAUUCUUCAUCCGGAAAUUGUGGAGUGCCGAGUCUUUAAGACGGACAUGGAGCUGGAGGUUUUGCGUUACACCAACAGAAUCUCCAGCGAGGCCCACCGGGAGGUAA